GACGAACGCUGGCGGCGUGCCUAAUACAUGCAAGUCGAGCGCAGGAAAUCAUCCGAACCUUUCGGGGGGACGUUGAUGGAAUGAGCGGCGGACGGGUGAGUAACACGUAAAGAACCUGCCCUCAGGUCUGGGAUAACCACGAGAAAUCGGGGCUAAUACCGGAUGGGUCAUCGGACCGCAUGGUCCGAGGAUGAAAGGCGCUUCGGCGUCGCCUGGGGAUGGCUUUGCGGUGCAUUAGCUAGUUGGUGGGGUAAUGGCCCACCAAGGCGACGAUGCAUAGCCGACCUGAGAGGGUAAUCGGCCACACUGGGACUGAGACACGGCCCAGACUCCUACGGGAGGCAGCAGUAGGGAAUCUUCCACAAUGGACAAAAGUCUGAUGGAGCAACGCCGCGUGAACGAUGAAGGCCUUCGGGUCGUAAAGUUCUGUUGUAAGGGAAGAACAAGUGCCGCAGGCAAUGGCGGCACCUUGACGGUACCUUGCGAGAAAGCCACGGCUAACUACGUGCCAGCAGCCGCAGUAA
rnacentral:rRNA from 1 species